AAAUUGAAGAGUUUGAUCAUGGCUCAGAUUGAACGCUGGCGGCAGGCCUAACACAUGCAAGUCGAACGGUAGCACAGAGGAGCUUGCUCCUUGGGUGACGAGUGGCGGACGGGUGAGUAAUGUCUGGGAAACUGCCCGAUGGAGGGGGAUAACUACUGGAAACGGUAGCUAAUACCGCAUAACGUCGCAAGACCAAAGAGGGGGACCUUCGGGCCUCUUGCCAUCGGAUGUGUCCAGAUGGGAUUAGCUAGUAGGUGGGGUAACGGCUCACCUAGGCGACGAUCCCUAGCUGGUCUGAGAGGAUGACCAGCCACACUGGAACUGAGACACGGUCCAGACUCCUACGGGAGGCAGCAGUGGGGAAUAUUGCACAAUGGGCGCAAGCCUGAUGCAGCCAUGCCGCGUGUAUGAAGAAGGCCUUCGGGUUGUAAAGUACUUUCAGCGAGGAGGAAGGCGUUGUGGUUAAUAACCGCAACGAUUGACGUUACUCGCAGAAGAAGCACCGGCUAACUCCGUGCCAGCAGCCGCGGUAAUACGGAGGGUGCAAGCGUUAAUCG
rnacentral:rRNA from 1 species